rnacentral:lncRNA from 1 species
UUAAGCUUACGGGUGCCUAACCAACCUUUACAAUCUGAGGACGCAAGCCUCAACAAUCUUGCUCGGAGAUACAAUACUCCAAGACUUUGACCAAGGAAACACAAGUUCCUUACAACAAGAGAAUCACAAUUCUCUUCAAGUGUACAAAACACUGAACACUCAAACAAUACACUCCUUAAUGAGUAGAUAUGAGUAAAAGAAGUAAGCUCAAGAUCACAACAACUAUGGACAAGACUUUGGCUCUCAAAAGCUUUNNN